GACGAACCGUGCGAACGUUGUUCGGAAUCACUGGGCAUAAAGGGCGCGUAGGCGGCUUAUCAAGUCAGGGGUGAAAUCCGGCAGCUUAACUGUCGAAGUGCCCUUGAUACUGACGAGCUCGAGGGAGAUAGGGGUGUGUGGAACUUCCGGUGGAGCGGUGAAAUGCGUUGAUAUCGGAAGGAACGCCGGUGGCGAAAGCGACACACUGGAUCUCUUCUGACGCUGAGGCG
rnacentral:rRNA from 1 species